rnacentral:rRNA from 1 species
GAUGAACGCUGGCGGCGUGCCUAAUACAUGCAAGUCGAGCGAACGGACGAGAAGCUUGCUUCUCUGAUGUUAGCGGCGGACGGGUGAGUAACACGUGGAUAACCUACCUAUAAGACUGGGAUAACUUCGGGAAACCGGAGCUAAUACCGGAUAAUAUUUUGAACCGCAUGGUUCAAAAGUGAAAGACGGUCUUGCUGUCACUUAUAGAUGGAUCCGCGCUGCAUUAGCUAGUUGGUAAGGUAACGGCUUACCAAGGCAACGAUGCAUAGCCGACCUGAGAGGGUGAUCGGCCACACUGGAACUGAGACACGGUCCAGACUCCUACGGGAGGCAGCAGUAGGGAAUCUUCCGCAAUGGGCGCAAGCCUGACCGAGCAACGCCGCGUGAGUGAUGAAGGUCUUCGGAUCGUAAAACUCUGUUAUUGGGGAAGAACAUAUGUGUAAUUAACUGUGCACAUCUUGACGGUACCUAAUCAGAAAGCCCCGGCUAACUACGUG